UGAGCAGGGGAAAGCUCAGUGUGGAAAUUGGGGCCUGUGGCCUUGAAUUGUAGUCUAGAGAUGUGCUGCCAACGGAGGUGCAUGUGUAAGCCUCUUGGAAAAGAGCGCCAAUGAGGGUGAGAGUCCUGCUUGUCACUUGCAGUCCCCUGUGCACGGUGUACUUUCCCAGAGUCACGUUCCUUGGGAUUGGAGCGCAAAGUGGGUGGUAAAUAUCAUCUAAAGCUAAAUAUUGGUUUGAGACCGAUAGCAAACAAGUACCAUGAGGGAAAGGUGAAAAGGACUUUGAAAAGAAAGUUAAAAGUGCCUGAAAUUGCUGAUAGGAAAGCGAAUGGGAUCAGUGCUUCUUGGCAAGAUUGCUGCGCACGCAUGUGAUUGCCUGCUGCUGCAAUGCAAAUGUGGCAGUGGGCUCUGAUCUGGUUGUGCGCAGUGGUUCUUGCCUUGCCUGUCAAUGCCAAUGUGCAAUCGAGAAAAACAUGGAGGAAAUGACUUCUUGCCCUUGGGUGAGUGAAUGUUCUGUCCUGAACUCAUUUUGUGCAUUGUUUGCGCGUGUCUUGUUUCAGUGCUCCUCCUUGUUGCAUCCAUGUCGAUGUAGCGUUGUUGGAACACAAGCUUGACACAACGAUGAUGACAAAAUGGUUCUAUUCGACCCGUCUUGAAACACGGAUCAAGGAGUCUAGCAGCUGUGCAAGUUUAUGGGCUGCUACACCUGCAUGCGCAAUGAAAGUGACUGCUGGGAUGAUUGCACCAGCAACCGACCAAUCAAUUGAGAGAGGUUUGAGUAUGAGCAUGUCUGUUAGGACCCGAAAGAUGGUGAACUAUGCCUGAGAAGGGUAAAUUCAGGGGAAACUCUGAUGGAGGCUCGUAGCGAUACUGACGUGCAAAUCGUUCGUCAUACUUGGGUAUAGGGGCGAAAGACUAAUCGAACCAUCUAGUAGCUGGUUCCCUCCGAAGUUUCCCUCAGGAUAGCUGGAGUUGCACAGUUUUAUCAGGUAAAGCGAAUGAUUAGAGGAAUUGGGGACGUGUUGUUCUUGACCUAUUCUUAAACUUUAAAUGGGUAAGAUCCAGUGAUUACUUGUGUGAACUUCUGGGGUCAAUGACAAUUCUAAGUGGGCCAUUUUUGGUAAGCAGAACUGGCGAUGAGGGAUGAACCUAACAUUGGGAUAAGGUGCUUAACUGCUCGCUCAUCAGAUACCAUAAAGGGUGUUGGUUCAUUUUAACAGCAGGACGGUGGUCAUGGAAGUCGAAAUCCGCUAAGGAGUGUGUAACAACUCACCUGCCGAA
rnacentral:rRNA from 1 species